GACCAUUGUCGACUGCUGAGGCUGACUUCGACGCCGCCAUAUUGCAUAUUCCAUCUCCCACAAGCAAGCAGUCGUGAAAUGGGAGAGUUUUCUUAGGAAUUGUUUGAGUUUUUCCCGCAUAUUAAUGGCCCCAAACCGCUUCGAUAAAGGUCGUAAACUAUUCGACAUUUCACUUCGGGGGAAACAAGCGUACGACCAAUCAAAACCAACAUCAUUCUUCGUCCGGGACGCGUGUGGUGUUCCUUCGUCCUGUGUUCUUGCCACAAUAAGCGCAUCGUUGAGUUGCUCAUUUGUGUUCCGGCAAAUGGAGGAUGCAUUUUCGAUGUGUGAAUCACUUUUACCUAUCCGGAAAACGACGUUAUUGUGCAGUUCAAGACAAAUGCAAGGAUUCAUUUGUAUAGGAAGUCCACUGCAAAUACCCACUUUUUGAUAUCCAGUCAUUUCCGGAUGUCCUGGCCCUUCGCAAAGCUUUGUACAGAAUAGCUGAGGCAAUAUACAGCGUUCGACGUCGUCCAAAAACACUCAAUAUGUUCUAUCCGCGAUGGUCUGGAACUAACCUAGGAAUUUCUAGUGAGAAGUUGCUCACCUUUCGCCAUGUCAUUUCACCGAUCGGUAGUUUAUGUUAAGGAUGACUCGCUUCCCCUGGCAAAUGUUACCAUUAUAACCUGCGGAUGGACCGAUCAGGACAACGAUUAGUUUUCUAUUUUGCGAAUACAUAAUUCUAUCGGUGUGUGGAUAAUGCUCACCCAACGUGAAAUGAAUGGCAAUAAAUAAUCUGAUUAAUCGCACUACCGCUUCAGCGGUAGAAAAAAACGCAAUCUGUGAGCAUAACAUUAAUUUUCUUUGUUCAAAUUGCAUGUCAUAGAAAAUAUAAAAUGAAAACAAUAAA